rnacentral:rRNA from 1 species
CCUACGGGAGGCAGCAGUAAGGAAUAUUGGUCAAUGGACGCAAGUCUGAACCAGCCAUGCCGCGUGCAGGAUGAAGGCCCUCUGGGUUGUAAACUGCUUUUAUCUGGGAAGAAAAUACCCUUUUCUAAGGGAGUUGACGGUACCAGAGGAAUAAGCACCGGCUAACUCCGUGCCAGCAGCCGCGGUAAUACGGAGGGUGCAAGCGUUAUCCGGAUUCACUGGGUUUAAAGGGUGCGUAGGCGGGUUUUUAAGUCAGUGGUGAAAGCUUCCCGCUCAACGGGAAAACUGCCAUUGAUACUAUUAAUCUUGAAUUCAGUUGAGGUCGGCGGAAUGUGUCGUGUAGAGGUGAAAUUCUUAGAUAUGACACAGAACACCAAUUGCGAAGGCAGCUGGCUAAACUGAUAUUGACGCUGAGGCACGAAAGCGUGGGGAUCAAACAGGAUUAGAUACCCUGGUAAUCCACGCCCUAAACUAUGAUCACUCGAAGUUGGCGAUAUACU